ACCUGGCGACAGGAUGCCAAUCCCCAAAACCUCUCUCAGUUCGGAUCGAAGUCUGCAACCCGACUUCGUGAAGCUGGAUUCGCUAGUAAUCGCGCAUCAGCCAUGGCGCGGUGAAUACGUUCCCGGGCCUUGUACACACCGCCCGUCAAGCCAUGAAAGCCGGGGGUACCUGAAGUACGUAACCGCAAGGAUCGUCCUAGGGUAAAACUGGUAAUUGGGGCUAAGUCGUAACAAGGUAUC
rnacentral:rRNA from 1 species